AGAGUUUGAUCAUGGCUCAGAUUGAACGCUGGCGGCAGGCUUAACACAUGCAAGUCGAGCGGAAACGAUACCAGCUUGCUGGUAGGCGUCGAGCGGCGGACGGGUGAGUAAUACUUAGGAAUCUACCUAGUAGUGGGGGAUAGCACGGGGAAACUCGUAUUAAUACCGCAUACGACCUACGGGAGAAAGGGGGCAGUUUACUGCUCUCGCUAUUAGAUGAGCCUAAGUCGGAUUAGCUAGAUGGUGGGGUAAAGGCCUACCAUGGCGACGAUCUGUAGCUGGUCUGAGAGGAUGAUCAGCCACACCGGGACUGAGACACGGCCCGGACUCCUACGGGAGGCAGCAGUGGGGAAUAUUGGACAAUGGGGGAAACCCUGAUCCAGCCAUGCCGCGUGUGUGAAGAAGGCCUUUUGGUUGUAAAGCACUUUAAGCAGUGAAGAAGACUCCAUGGUUAAUACCCAUGGACGAUGACAUUAGCUGCAGAAUAAGCACCGGCUAACUCUGUGCCAGCAGCCGCGGUAAUACAGAGGGUGCAAGCGUUAAUCGGAAUUACUGGGCGUAAAGGGAGCGUAGGUGGCUCUAUAAGUCAGAUGUGAAAUCCCCGGGCUUAACCUGGGAACUGCAUCUGAAACUGUAGAGCUAGAGUAUGUGAGAGGAAGGUAGAAUUCCAGGUGUAGCGGUGAAAUGCGUAGAGAUCUGGAGGAAUACCGAUGGCGAAGGCAGCCUUCUGGCAUAAUACUGACACUGAGGCUCGAAAGCGUGGGUAGCAAACAGGAUUAGAUACCCUGGUAGUCCACGCCGUAAACGAUGUCUACUAGCCGUUGGGGCCUUUGAGGCUUUAGUGGCGCAGCUAACGCGAUAAGUAGACCGCCUGGGGAGUACGGUCGCAAGACUAAAACUCAAAUGAAUUGACGGGGGCCCGCACAAGCGGUGGAGCAUGUGGUUUAAUUCGAUGCAACGCGAAGAACCUUACCUGGUCUUGACAUAGUAAGAACUUUCCAGAGAUGGAUUGGUGCCUUCGGGAACUUACAUACAGGUGCUGCAUGGCUGUCGUCAGCUCGUGUCGUGAGAUGUUGGGUUAAGUC
rnacentral:rRNA from 1 species